CUUGUACUCCCUCUGUCCGAAAAUACUUGUCAUUGAAAUGGAUGUAUCUAGAUGUAUUUUAGUUCUAGACACAUCCAUUUUGAUGACAAGUAAUUCCGGACGUAGGGAGUACUUG
rnacentral:pre_miRNA from 1 species